rnacentral:rRNA from 1 species
GUGGGGAAUAUUGGACAAUGGGCGAAAGCCUGAUCCAGCCAUGCCGCGUGUGUGAAGAAGGUCUUCGGAUUGUAAAGCACUUUAAGUUGGGAGGAAGGGCAGUAAGUUAAUACCUUGCUGUUUUGACGUUACCGACAGAAUAAGCACCGGCUAACUUCGUGCCAGCAGCCGCGGUAAUACGAAGGGUGCAAGCGUUAAUCGGAAUUACUGGGCGUAAAGCGCGCGUAGGUGGUUUUGUAAGUUGGAGGUGAAAUCCCCGGGCUCAACCUGGGAACUGCCUCCAAAACUGCAUGACUAGAGUACGGUAGAGGGUAGUGGAAUUUCCUGUGUAGCGGUGAAAUGCGUAGAUAUAGGAAGGAACACCAGUGGCGAAGGCGACUACCUGGACUGAUACUGACACUGAGGUGCGAAAGCGUGGGGAGCAAACAGGAUUAGAUAUCCGUGUAGUCC